GGGGAGAAGGGACAGGCUGGGGCCAAUGGCAAAGACGGCAGUAAAGGGGAACUGGGUGCUCCAGGAUUACCCGGAACCAAAGUCCUGGUGACUCCAGAGGGUGCCACCGUUGAAGAGAUCCGCCAGGCCUUCCCGAUGCCGAUGGGUCCCCCCGGAGUCACUGUGGGUUACCGCGUCUCCCUACCUUCACGUUGUCUCCACCCAUAUCCUCUUCUCUUUACUCACCCAGCGGCCAUCUGGGCUGCCCAGCGGCGGUACCGAGCCAAGAUGGCCGCCUGUUGACAACCACAACGAUGUUGUAUGUGGUUUGAUGCUGCUUCUUGGCCAGGUCUCUCUUGAAAACCUGGUUAUUAAUCAGAAUGAGACUUUACCUGCUUCAAUUAAUUUUAAUAAGAGAUGGCCGCUAGGUGGAUAAGGGCCAUUAUCUUGGCUACGGCAUGUAUGAGUCAUAUUUGAUUGCAUGCACAGAGUGACAUCUGAGUCCUUUUGUGUUUAAAAAGAGAACUAUGGAACUCUUUUCAAACACUGAAAACACAUUUCUGGCGACGCACUCCAAUGUUCAACGUUGUGGGUCCCCAAGCAUGUGGUGUUGUGCUUCGUCCUUUGCUUUGUUGCAUUCUCUAAUGCAGGCUUCUGUGCCUUCGUGUGUGUGUGUGUGUGAUUCUAGGGUGCACCGGGAAUGAAGGUAAUUACUAUGAAGGGCGACAUUUUUAAUGCAAGGAAAAGUUAAACGAUGAACAAGGACAUGAAUGCAUUGUUGACUUUAUGGAGUUUACAGAAAGUGUUUUGUUUCCGCAGGGCGAAACAGGGGUGCAAGGUUUGAAAGGAGACCGGGGUGAUGUGGGGCCCCCCGGCAAGGCCAUUCAGAUGAAGGACAUUGAAGCCAUGUUCGAAGCCUAUGGAAUCAGGCUGCCCCUGCUCAAGGCCCUGGUGGACCACCUGCUGCAGGACGGAGUGGAGGAGCUGCUGCACGUGCUCAGCUCCACCAAGAGGCUCCAGGAGGUCAAGGAGACGCACGGCUCCAACGCCAUCCCUGAAUACACAAACUCUCUGGAGUAUGAGCUGAGCAGCCAGCCCCUGACGAAGGAGGGGUACCUGCCCGAUGUGGACGGACAGACGCCCCCGCCCGCCCCUGCUGACGUGCUCAACGGAACCACGGUGGGCCAAAGUACAUCAUGGGAGCUGUCGGGGGCGGACCGGGCCCCGGAGCCCAACGUCACCCAGAGCCGGCCCGACGGCCCCGGGCUGCAGGGCCGUCUGGAGGGCAACGUCAGCGCUGAUACCCCCCGGCUCCAGAUGAACCUGACCCUGGUCAACGCUCCGUCCAACGACAGUACAUCCAAGGAGGUGGGGCAGGACAACAUCAGGAGGGAGGAUAUAGAACACCUGACCGCGCCAACAUCAGAACACCACGUUGAGCUGCUUGAAAGUAGACUUUUAUUGAACCAGAGUGGUGUCAUUGAGAUUAAUAAUUUAUUUUGCAAGAGAGACCUGGCCAAGACAGCAGCACGAUGUUGCAAACACAGGUUACUACAUUUAACAGAAACUGGAAGAUAG
ensembl:lncRNA